rnacentral:rRNA from 1 species
AAUCAUGGCUCAGGACGAACGCUGGCGGCGCGCCUAACACAUGCAAGUCGAACGAGCGAGAGGAGGUUUACUUUCUCAAGCGAGUGGCGAACGGGUGAGUAACGCGUGAGGAACCUGCCUCAAAGAGGGGGACAACAGUUGGAAACGACUGCUAAUACCGCAUAAGCCCACGACCCGGCAUCGGGUAGAGGGAAAAGGAGCAAUCCGCUUUGAGAUGGCCUCGCGUCCGAUUAGCUAGUUGGUGAGGUAAUGG